rnacentral:rRNA from 1 species
GUCUAUAGCCAUGCCACCCUGAACAAGCCCGAUCCCAUCUGAUCUCGGAAGCUAAGCAGGAUCAGGCCUGGUUGGUACUUGGAUGGGAGACCACCUAGGAAGACCAGGUGCUGUAGGCG